UACGUAGGCAGCAAGCGUUGUUCGGAGUUACUGGGCGUAAAGGGUGUGUAGGCGGUUAUUUAAGUUUGGUGUGAAAUCUCCCGGCUCAACCGGGAGGGUGCGCCGAAUACUGAAUGACUUGGAGUGCGGGAGAGGAAAGUGGAAUUCCUGGUGUAGCGGUGAAAUGCGUAGAUAUCAGGAGGAACACCGGUAGUGCGAAGGCGGUCUCUGGGCCGAUACUGACGCUGAGGAGCGAAAGCGUGGGGAGCGAACAGGAUUAGAACUGACUCGGAUCAAGUCCAGUAC
rnacentral:rRNA from 1 species